CCUUGCCCAACCUCGAAGUGCUGAAAUUGCGGGAGUAUGCCUUCCAGGGCAGAGAGUGGAUACCAAAUGAAGGGGAAUUUCUCACACUAAAAUUCCUGCUAAUAUGGGAGACAGAUUUGGUGCACCUGAGAGCCAACAGUACCCAUUUUCCAUGUCUAGAGCACCUAAUCCUUAGAAAUUGCUCGAAGUUGGUAGAGAUCCCUUCUGAUAUUCGAGAUAUACCGACGCUUCAAAUAAUUGAAAUAGAUUGCUCCAGUCCAUCCGCUGUGGAUUCGGCAAAGAAAAUACUAGAUGACCAACAAAGCCUGGGAAAUGAUGGCCUUAAAGUUUUCAUCCAUCCAACAAAAACGAAAGUCUAUCCACUGAAAUUUGGGGUAAACUAAUUGUUCAUACUAUAUUUGUAUGUUACUUUAUUAAUUUUUAGAUAUUAAUUAACUUCCAACAGAUCCAGCAAGAUGAAUCAGGGCGCUUCUAUCAAAGAAAAACCAAACUCGAUGAGUUCAAGGUACAUCAUUUCCUCAACCUAUAUUUGUAUGUUACUUUCUUAAUUAGGUUUUAGAUACACGAAGGCAAAUAUUGGUACCAAUCUUGGAAAAACUUAUGAUCUCGAGACAACUCCUGAUUCAUCUAAAUUCAUAUCGCUGAUCCAUCGUUUAAUAUUUGACGUUGAUUAGCCGCGUUCUAGUUAACAGUUGAAACUAUCAUUUCAUUCACAAGUCUCAAUUGGGCAACUACUCACCAAGGAUUCUGUAUCGUCAGGCUAAAGCAAAAUCUGGAAGCAGCUCCAAAUCAUAGGAAUUGUUUCAUGAACGGAUUGACAUUCUGCAAUGCAUGAACAUUGAGAGGAUCUCAGUAAUCAAGUCAAGCUUCUUCCAACACCAUGAAUGCCUUUUGAGUUUGAUCACUUGUGCAAUUGCUUGUUAGUUAUUUGAUAUUAUUGAGAAUUUAUUUUAUUUUGGGUUUUUGGUUUUGGAUUGUACUAUGUCAUCGCGAUUGUUCUGUUCAACAUUAUUGAUUUGACUCGUUUUUACAGUAUUUUACCUUUGUGAAACAAUUAGUUCAGCAUUUGAUGUGUUGUACUAAAGUUCCAAGGUUUCUGAUUUUCUGUAUGUAUACUUA
rnacentral:lncRNA from 1 species